GACCCGGUUUCAAAUUUCGGAUCCUUAAUAAACACCUUUUCAUACCGAUUUGUUCAUUCUCUCUUUAUUCCACACAAAGAAACCCUAAUCAUCGUGCCAUCCUCUUGCAUUUGUUCACUAGAAUUUCAUCAAGAUUAAUUGAAUACUUCAUUCGAUCAUGUUCGUUUGUUGAUUAAAUCGACACAUCAUUGUUGCUUUGUUGGAGAUCUCAUAGUGGUAUUUUUCAAAGUGUUGCGAUUUCCUCAACUGGUUAUUCCUAAAGCUUAUGUUUAGAAGAACAUUGGCGGACUGUUUGGGAAGAAUAAAUUGAUAAUCAGGUUUGAUGGUAUGCGUUCAUGGGUUAUUUCAUAUGAGAGGGUUCGUGAUGGCGUAGAAUUUACAGCUGGAUGAAAACUAUUGUGGAUGACCUUGGUUUGAAGCUUUGUUGUUUACUGGUCUUUACACUGUUUCAGUUUUACUCUGAUUUCCUGUUAAUGGCCUUUAAUGUUGAUUUUGCUAUUGUGUGCAAAAAAAACAAAAAAAGAAAGAGACUUUCAAACUUUUGUCUUGUGGAUCAUGCUAGUGACAAAAAAUAUCUCUUUUAGCAACAUCAAUCUAAAUCCUUCGAGGAGUCGUGUUGUACGUAUUAGUUAAUUUUUUAUUUCCUUUAUGUAAUAAUGUAAUAUAAAUGUUAACAAUAAACUUUCUUUGAUAAA